GACGAACGCUGGCGGCGUGCUUAACACAUGCAAGUCGAACGAAGAGCGAUGGAAGCUUGCUUCUAUCAAUCUUAGUGACGAACGGGUGAGUAACGCGUAAUCAACCUGCCCUUCAGAGGGGGACAACAGUUGGAAACGACUGCUAAUACCGCAUACGAUCUAAUCUCGGCAUCGAGGAUAGAUGAAAGGUGGCCUCUACAUGUAAGCUAUCACUGAAGGAGGGGAUUGCGUCUGAUUAGCUAGUUGGAGGGGUAACGGCCCACCAAGGCGAUGAUCAGUAGCCGGUCUGAGAGGAUGAACGGCCACAUUGGGACUGAGACACGGCCCAGACUCCUACGGGAGGCAGCAGUGGGGAAUCUUCCGCAAUGGACGAAAGUCUGACGGAGCAACGCCGCGUGAGUGAUGACGGCCUUCGGGUUGUAAAGCUCUGUUAAUCGGGACGAAAGGCCUUCUUGCGAAUAGUGAGAAGGAUUGACGGUACCGGAAUAGAAAGCCACGGCUAACUACGUG
rnacentral:rRNA from 1 species